rnacentral:misc_RNA from 1 species
UCCGGUUUGUCACCGGCAGUCACCUUAGAGUGCCCAACUGAAUGCUGGCAACUAAGAUCAAGGGUUUAACCAGCAUGUCAAGCCCAGGUAAGGUUCUUCGCGUUGCAUCGAAUUAAGCCACAUGCUCCGCCGCUUGUGCGGGCCCCCGUCAAUUCCUUUGAGUUUUAGCCUUGCGGCCGUACUCCCCAGGCGGAGUGCUUAAUGCGUUAGCUGCGGCACAGAGAGGGUUGAAGACCUCCCCACACCUAGCACUCAACGUUUACGGCUGGGACUAC